AUAUUCUAAGGAAAGAAUCAUUCUUAUUUGUGAAGACAAAAGGACACAGAGGGAAAUAUGAACUAAAUUUUUGCUGUGUCCUCCACUUUACUACCCUUAGCUCAUACCCCCUUUGUCUUAUAUUUCUUUGUGACUCUCCACUCUUCAUCAAAUACAGUGUUAAAAACACUCAGGUUUAAUCACUUAUUUGGGUCUUCAUUUCCUUAUUAAAGCUCUCACGGCAUGUAAAGCUUAUAUUUUUAAAAUGUGUAUGCUUCUCUUUUGUCUUUUAUAUGCUUUUCUCUGUCUUCUGUUACAGACGCCACAAUCAAGAACUCAGAAGGGUAGAAGAAAAAGAUAGUUUCCCUUCCCUACACAGGGUCCAUGCAUUCAGUGGAGUAAUGAUUCCUGUCCAUGAAAAAAAAAAAAGAAAGUAGAAAAUUUCAGAGAAGAGAAAAAUUUUCCACUUGGGAGCAAGGGCAUGAGGGCAGCGGGGAAGUGGUAGAUAUACUGACAUGUUAAUAUAUUAGGUCUUGUAUUUCUUUUGUACAUAGUCUUUCUUCUUUGACUGCCUCGUUCAUGCAUCUCCACUACUUGAAAAAUUAUUUAAUUUACAAGCAUGUGCCAAAGUCCUACAUCAUGCUUCCUCUAAGAUUCUAUGCAAGCCAAUUCAAAGAUUUCUCUCUUAAAAAUAUUUGUAUGAAAAAAAGACAUGGCUAGGAAAUCACUGUUCAGUAGGAUAAAAUAAAAGUG
rnacentral:lncRNA from 10 species